GCGAAUAAAGAAGGGUUUCACACUUAGAUUUUAUUGCCGAGAACUCAACAGCUGAUAAAUUCAGCGAAAUGUUCUACAAGUUUUCGGCAGAAUUUUCAAGAACUUCGGCAAACGAAACGUCAAUACUUUCUGGUUUACAGUAAAUCGAUAUAUUUGCUGAAUGUUCGUCGAAAUAUAUAUUUCUGACAUUCUUUAAAAACCGAGUUUGCCGAGAUAAAUUAAGUGUGUUUGACAGCAGUUAGUGCGCUUCCAGGUCAAAACGAGGUGAGCUGGUGGAAUAAAGAAAUUCGCUAUAAGUAAGUGAAGGUUCAAUACUGUGGACACAAUUUUGUUUUGGUUGCGGUAAAUAAAAGCAAAAAGGAAUUUGAAUGAAAUGCCAAGCGUUUGGUUUUAAAACCUACUGUGGUUCCGGUCCGGGCAUUAAAUUUUAUCCAUUUCCCAAGGAUGCAGAAGCUUAUUGUCAGUUGCUAAAAAUAUGCGUGAAUCUGAGAAAGAUAUUCAAAAUUUGAAUAUCCCACGCAAUAGUCGAAUAUGCAGGGACGAUAUUUUUUAUUAUUAUGUUAUUACAACAAACAACUACAUUGUAACGUGUAAUUCUAGAGCAACAUGUCAAAAGGAUCUAUCUCGGAUUUAAUAGUUUUGAGAAAAUCAACCUCGAAGUUUUAGUUUCCUUUUUUAAAUGCUAUUUAACAAUUGAAACCAAUUUUCUAUUUUUUUAACGCAGAAAUAAUUACGAACAUGUAAACUUUAAUAUAUUUAAAUAUUUUCGUUGAAAACCCAUCAAUAUUACUGAAAAAAUUAGAUGUUUACGAACUGAAUUAUGAAAAGUCCCUUUAAACUUGUAAAAUAGACUUAGACCCUUUUGUUAGAUCCAAUGUUUGUUUUGAUUCUGAGUUAGCUCAUUUCAGAUGUACCCUUUGGUAGAUUGUCAUUUUAGUUAGGUUUUUUGAAUCCGACUAAACUAAACUGAAAUUUUCUUUGAAAAAACCGAAACAGUUUUAUACCGAGUAGUUUUCAGUGAAAAUUGUAUCGAUCAAGUUAUCAAGUGAAACCCCCAUGCGAAUGUAUAAUAAUUGGUACUAUAGUUGGCUUCUACGAUGAGUGAUAAUUGAAAUGCAUCUUGAAAUGUGAAACCCGUUAGUGUCAUUCUCUACAAAUCCUAGGAUUUAAAGGACCAGAAUUUAGAAAAGACUGUAGAGAGCGGUUUUCACGGAACAGAAGGUUGUAUUUGUGCUGAGAGUUGGAAAUGGAUUGAAUUGUUCAUGUUUCACUAAUAAUAUAAGUACGGGUGAAAGAGAAGACGCUCUGCUUUACGUGCAGUACAGUGAAAAGUGUAACGAGUACAGUUCAAACUGGUUCAAAUAGAAAAAGUGGUGAUCAAGGUGUUAGGAACUAAAACAGUGGCAUAUCAUAAGUUUUUUAUUCAAAAUUUGUUUUUGUAAGGACAAGAGUGUUUAAUCAUUUAAUAAACAUUUAUUGCUC